rnacentral:rRNA from 1 species
GACGAACGCUGGCGGCGUGCUUAACACAUGCAAGUCGAACGGAAAGGCCCUGCUUUGGUGGGGUGCUCGAGUGGCGAACGGGUGAGUAACACGUGAGUAACCUGCCCUUGACUUUGGGAUAACUUCAGGAAACUGGGGCUAAUACCGGAUAGGAGCUCCUGCUGCAUGGUGGGGGUUGGAAAGUUUCGGCGGUUGGGGCUGGACUCGCGGCUUAUCAGCUUGUUGGUGGGGUAGUGGCUUACCAAGGCUUUGACGGGUAGCCGGCCUGAGAGGGUGACCGGCCACAUUGGGACUUAGUUACUGCCUAGACUCCUACGGGAGGCAGCAGUGGGGAAUAUUGCACAAUGGGCGGAAGCCUGAUGCAGCCACCCCGCGUGCGGGAUGACGGCCUUCGGGUUGUAAACCGCUUUCGCCUGUGACGAAGCGUGAGUAACGGUAAUGGGUAAAGAAGCACCGGCUAACUACGUU